GGCAGUGAAUGGGAUCAACCUCCUCCAGAGAUGCGGCCGUCAGGUUCAAUUGCCAUAAAGGAUUAUGCAAUUGAAACUCCUUUGCAAGGAGACACAUUUCAAGAGGUGAAGAUCGACAUAAAUUCUAAGUGGUCUAUAGCAGCUAUAAAUUUUGUGUUGAAGGAUGAGGAAACUGGAGUUUGGUAUCAGCACAGAGGGCGGGACUUCAAGAUUCCUCUUGUUGACUGCCUUGACAAUGAUGCUAAUAUCGUUGGUGUUAAAAAGGAGUCGAACAUAUGGUCAGGAUCACUAGGAAAGCUGUCCAACAUACUCCUUAAUCCAGAAGCUUCUCCUUCUAAAGGGGAAUCAAGCAGCAAUGAGGGGUCUAGUGCGAAAAACAGGCGUCUUGAAGGGUUUUAUGAGGAGCAUGCCAUAGUAAAAGAGACUCUUGUCGAUAACAUAGUUAAUGUCUCUGUUAAGCAGUGUCCAGAGACUGCUAAGAAUAUUUUGUGUAUAGAUACUGACUUACCUGGAAAUGUAAUUCUUCACUGGGGAAUCUGCAAAGGUGAUACUAAAAUAUGGGAACUUCCUGCAAUGCCAUAUCCAGCGGAAACAAUAGUGUUCAAGAAUAAGGCACUGCGGACUUUGCUGCAGAGAAAAGAGGGAGGUAAUGGUUCUUCGGGAUUGUUUACUUUGGAUGUAGGACUUGCCGGAUUUGUUUUUGUGGUGAAGCUAGAUGAAAAUACGUGGUUGAAUUGUAAGGGAGAUGACUUUUAUGUACCUCUGUCAAGUGGCACAUUACAUUUGGAGGAAAGUAAACAAAGCGAGGAGUCAAAUUCUUCCCAGAUAGUCAAUCGUACGCCUGAGGAGAGCCAAAUAGGCUCUGUGUAUACUGAUGAAAUAAUAAAAGAGAUAAGGAGUUUGGUGAGUGACAUUUCUUCUGAAAAGAGCCGAAAGACAAAAAAUAGGGAAACACAGGAAACCAUUCUUCAAGAAAUUGAGAAGCUGGCUGCUGAAGCUUAUGGUAUAUUCAGAAGUUCAAUCCCAACAAUACUAGAAACUGUUGUUUCUGACUCUGAGGUUGUACAACCUGACGUGAAAGUAACUUCAGGAACUGGUACAGGAUUUGAAAUUUUGUGCCAGGGUUUUAAUUGGGAAUCUCAUAAAUCUGGAAGA
rnacentral:misc_RNA from 1 species